rnacentral:rRNA from 1 species
CCUACGGGUGGCAGCAGUGAGGAAUAUUGGUCAAUGGGCGAGAGCCUGAACCAGCCAAGUCGCGUGAAGGAUGACGGCCCUACGGGUUGUAAACUUCUUUUGUCAGGGAGCAAUUGAGUCCACGUGUGGGCUUAGCGAGAGUACCUGAAGAAAAAGCAUCGGCUAACUCCGUGCCAGCAGCCGCGGUAAUACGGAGGAUGCGAGCGUUAUCCGGAUUUACUGGGCGUAAAGGGUGUGCAGGCGGCUGAGUAAGACAGAUGUGAAAUCCCCGGGCUUAACCUGGGAACCGCAGAUGUGACUGGUUGGCUAGAGUGCGUCAGAGGGAGGUGGAAUUCGACGUGUAGCAGUGAAAUGCGUAGAUAUGUGGAAGAACACCGAUGGCGAAGGCAGCCUCCUGGGACGCAACUGACGCUCAUACACGAAAGCGUGGGGAGCAAACAGGAUUAGAUACCCGGGUAGUC